AACGCACAUGGCGCCUUCCAGUAUCCUGGGAGGCAUGCCUGUCCGAGCGUCGUUUCAACCCUCGAGCCCCUGUGGCCCGGCGUUGGGGAUCUGCCACGGCAGGCCCCUAAAACCAGUGGCGGACCCGAAGGGCCCUCUCCUUUGCGCAGUAGCAUUCGCCUCGCAUCGGGAGUCCUCGGCGUCCUGCCUCUAAACCCCCCACAAGCCCGCCUCGGCGGCACCAAGGUUGACCUCGGAUCAGGUAGGAAUACCCGCUGAACUUAA
rnacentral:misc_RNA from 2 species